rnacentral:rRNA from 1 species
UACAGAGGGUGCAAGCGUUGUUCGGAAUUAUUGGGCGUAAAGAGCGCGCAGGCGGUCGUUCAAGUCGAGUGUGAAAGCCCCCCGGCUCAAACUGGGGGAGGGUCAUUCGAUACUGAUCGACUCGAAGGCAGGAGAGGGAAGCGGAAUUCCCGGUGUAGUGGUGAAAUGCGUAGAUAUCGGGGAGGGAAACACCAGUGGCGAAGGGCGG